rnacentral:lncRNA from 1 species
AACUGAAGGUCAUGCUGCGCGAAAAUCUGAUUUCCUGCACGAACUUAUGUUUUGAGUUCACAAGCGGCCUUCUCCUCAAGAUCUAAGUGUAAAAGAUCAUUUGAGGACAAUACGGCAUGAUUUAGUUAAUCAUUGCCCAAUGCCACAUUUGAAGACAUGUUAAAGAGCAUUGACAUGCUAAGUUGUUGAAACUUCUGUGAUUAGUAAAAAUCAGGAAGAGCCUUAUGAUUGAUGUAAAGAUCAGGGGGAGGUGUAAACUUCAGAGGGAGUCUAACACAUACAUACAUGUUACUAUCAAAUGUGAAGGGUGCGUUGUACUCUUUUUCUCCUACGAUCAAGGUUCAGUUUUUCUCCCACGAUCAAGGUUCAGUUUUUCUCCCACAGGGUUUUUGUGACUUGACGAGGUUUUUGACGAGGCAACAGAUCAGCACCAUCGGCAUAUCAGCGCGCGGCACAAAGGGGAGUGUUCUAGGAUAUUCCAUAUCUUUCUAGAUAUUCUUUAUGUGUGUCUUGGCCUUAUGCCAAUAGGAUAUGUAGUUAGACUAGAUCUAUGUAUUCAUAUCCUUACCAUAUUACCAUAUUGGUAUUGUGUAAUUCCUUAUAUAAAGGGCUCAUAUCAAUGAAUAAGAUGAUGAUUCUCUUGCUAUCUCUUUGUCUAUACACUUUAUACUUCAUCAAAAAUAAAGUUUUUAUGACCGGAUUCUCAAGACCAAUGACGUUGACCAGACUCCGGUAACCUUUGACCGAGCUCCGGGGAUCAUUGACUGGACUCCGGGGGACAAUGACGGGACUCCGGCGAUCGUUGACCGAGCUUCUGAGACCAUUGACGGGACUUCGGGGGCCGUUGUGCUUUAGUUACUUAUAACAGGUCCUUAUUGAGGGCAAUAUGCCCACCUAUUGGGGUCAGUAGGACCUCCUAUUAGGGGCAGUAGGGGCAGUAUGACCUCCUAUUGGAAUCAGUAAGACCUCCUACUAGGGGCAGUAGAACCCUUGAACUUAAGAUAUAAGGUAUACAUGUAUCAAGAAAUGUAUUGAAAUGAAAGAAGUGGAGUCUCUAUAAUAUUCUAUAAGAUGUAAGACUGAGAAAAUAACUUAUAUCCAAAUCUACACCAAAAGAAUGAAAGCAAGUGACUCUUGAUGCCCUAAUUGAAGGACAAUAUGACAUACACAAAUAGCAUAAUAUUCCUUUACUAGGACAUUCUACUGAGGGCAAUAGGACCACCUAUUGGGGGCAGUAAGACCUCCUACUGGGGGCAGUAGGAGGUUCGUAGGGGGGGUCUAUUGGGGGCAGUAAGGGGUUCAUCGAGGGGUCUAUUGAGGGCAGUAGGGGGUUCAUCGGGAGGUCUAUUGGGGGCAAUAGGGGUCUAUUAAGAGCAAUAAGAGAUUCGUUACAGGUCUAUUAGGAGCAGUAUGGGGUUUGUCGGGGGUCUAUUGGGGGCAGUAGGAGGUCUAUUGGAGACAGUAGAGGGUCUAUCAAGGGCAGUAAACAUUUAUUCCCCUCAAUAGAUCUCAUCCCAACAUGAAAAUUAUAUUAUAAUAGAGCCAAGUCAUACAAAAAUACAAAAGACCUACCUUAAUCACUGUACAAAAUU